AGACCCGAAACCCGGUGAUCUAGCCAUGGGCAGGUUGAAGGUUGGGUAACACUAACUGGAGGACCGAACCGACUAAUGUUGAAAAAUUAGCGGAUGACCUGUGGCUGGGGGUGAAAGGCCAAUCAAACCGGGAGAUAGCUGGUUCUCCCCGAAAGCUAUUUAGGUAGCGCCUCGUGAACUCAUCUCCGGGGGUAGAGCACUGUUUCGGCUAGGGGGCCAUCCCGGCUUACCAACCCGAUGCAAACUGCGAAUACCGGAGAAUGUUAUCACGGGAGACACACGGCGGGUGCUAACGUCCGUCGUGAAGAGGGAAACAACCCAGACCGCCAGCUAAGGUCCCAAAGUCAUGGUUAAGUGGGAAACGAUGUGGGAAGGCCCAGACAGCCAGGAUGUUGGCUUAGAAGCAGCCAUCAUUUAAAGAAAGCGUAAUAGCUCACUGGUCGAGUCGGCCUGCGCGGAAGAUGUAACGGGGCUAAACCAUGCACCGAAGCUGCGGCAGCGAACGUAUCACCCAAGACAACUUUGCGGAGUUGACGAUUGACGGAGCGAAGCGACGUCAAAGCGUUCAUUAAAGUCGAGUUGGCUUAGGGAUACGUUCGUUGGGUAGGGGAGCGUUCUGUAAGCCAGUGAAGGUGUGUCGUGAGGCAUGCUGGAGGUAUCAGAAGUGCGAAUGCUGACAUAAGUAACGAUAAAGCGGGUGAAAAGCCCGCUCGCCGGAAGACCAAGGGUUCCUGUCCAACGUUAAUCGGGGCAGGGUGAGUCGACCCCUAAGGCGAGGCCGAAAGGCGUAGUCGAUGGGAAACGGGUUAAUAUUCCCGUACUUGGUGUUACUGCGAAGGGGGGACGGAGAAGGCUAUGUUGGCCGGGCGACGGUUGUCCCGGUUUAAGCGUGUAGGUGUGUGUUCCAGGUAAAUCCGGUUCACUUUAACACUGAGGCGUGAUGACGAGGCACUACGGUGCUGAAGCAACAAAUGCCCUGCUUCCAGGAAAAGCCUCUAAGCAUCAGGUAACAUCAAAUCGUACCCCAAACCGACACAGGUGGUCAGGUAGAGAAUACCAAGGCGCUUGAGAGAACUCGGGUGAAGGAACUAGGCAAAAUGGUGCCGUAACUUCGGGAGAAGGCACGCUGAUAUGUAGGUGAAGCGGUUUACCCGUGGAGCUGAAAUCAGUCGAAGAUACCAGCUGGCUGCAACUGUUUAUUAAAAACACAGCACUGUGCAAACACGAAAGUGGACGUAUACGGUGUGACGCCUGCCCGGUGCCGGAAGGUUAAUUGAUGGGGUCAGCGCAAGCGAAGCUCCUGAUCGAAGCCCCGGUAAACGGCGGCCGUAACUAUAACGGUCCUAAGGUAGCGAAAUUCCUUGUCGGGUAAGUUCCGACCUGCACGAAUGGCGUAAUGAUGGCCAGGCUGUCUCCACCCGAGACUCAGUGAAAUUGAACUCGCUGUGAAGAUGCAGUGUACCCGCGGCAAGACGGAAAGACCCCGUGAACCUUUACUAUAGCUUGACACUGAACAUUGAGCCUUGAUGUGUAGGAUAGGUGGGAGGCUUUG
rnacentral:rRNA from 1 species